CAAACGAAUCAAGUAUGAAGAAAAAAACUAAUUUGGAGGCAAGGUAUAAUGUAACGUACCGGAAGACGAUCAAGCUCAACAAAGAACCGGACACGAUCAAGAAUCAAGCUUCUGCUAAUUGUUUCGUCGUCAUGUUUUAAACGGCGAAUGCAUUUUCAAAACGUUAGAAUGUUUUAUUUAUUAAAAUGUUUUAACAAACACGUAUUUUAAGUGUAUGUUUAAUCGUAA